rnacentral:rRNA from 1 species
AGAGUUUGAUCCUGGCUCAGGACGAACGCUGGCGGCGUGCCUAACACAUGCAAGUCGAGCGGAGACAGUGAGUAGCUUGCUAUGAGCUGUUUUAGCGGCGGACGGGUGAGUAACGCGUGAGCAACCUUUCCCAGACAGGGGAAUAACACACCGAAAGGUGUACUAAUACCGCAUAAGACCACGGGAUCACAUGGUUCUGAGGUAAAAGAUUUAUCGGUUUGGGGUGGGCUCGCGUCCGAUUAGGUAGUUGGUGAGGUAACGGCCCACCAAGCCGACGAUCGGUAGCCGACCUGAGAGGGUGAUCGGCCACAUUGGGACUGAGACACGGCCCAAACUCCUACGGGAGGCAGCAGUGGGGAAUAUUGGGCAAUGGAGGAAACUCUGACCCAGCAACGCCGCGUGGAGGAAGAAGGUUUUCGGAUCGUAAACUCCUGUCCUUGGAGACGAGUAGAAGACGGUAUCCAAGGAGGAAGCCCCGGCUAACUACGUGCCAGCAGCCGCGGUAAUACGUAGGGGGCAAGCGUUGUCCGGAAUAAUUGGGCGUAAAGGGCGCGUAGGCGGCUCGGUAAGUCUGGAGUGAAAGUCCUGCUUUUAAGGUGGGAAUUGCUUUGGAUACUGUCGGGCUUGAGUGCAGGAGAGGUUAGUGGAAUUCCCAGUGUAGCGGUGAAAUGCGUAGAGAUUGGGAGGAACACCAGUGGCGAAGGCGACUAACUGGACUGUAACUGACGCUGAGGCGCGAAAGUGUGGGGAGCAAACAGGAUUAGAUACCCUGGUAGUCCACACUGUAAACGAUGAAUGCUAGGUGUAGGGGGUAUCGACCCCUUCUGUGCCGCAGUUAACACAAUAAGCAUUCCGCCUGGGGAGUACGGCCGCAAGGUUGAAACUCAAAGGAAUUGACGGGGGCCCGCACAAGCAGCGGAGCAUGUGGUUUAAUUCGACGCAACGCGAAGAACCUUACCAGGUCUUGACAUCCACUUAAACUUACAGAGAUGUAAGGUGUGCUUGCACAAAGUGAGACAGGUGGUGCAUGGUUGUCGUCAGCUCGUGUCGUGAGAUGUUGGGUUAAGUCCCGCAACGAGCGCAACCCUU